rnacentral:rRNA from 1 species
AUUGAACGCUGGCGGCAUGCCUAACACAUGCAAGUCGAGCGGAUGAAGGGAGCUUGCUCUUGGCUUCAGCGGCGGACGGGUGAGUAAUGCCUAGGAAUCUGCCUUGUAGUGGGGGAUAACGUCCGGUAACGGGCGCUAAUGCCGCAUACGUCCUGAGGGUGAAAGUGGGGGAUCUUCGGUCCUCACCCUAUCUGAUGUGCCUAGGUCGUAUUAGCUAGUUGGUGGGGUAACGGCCUACCAAGGCGACGAUCCGUAACUGCUCUGAGAGGCUGAUCAGCCACACUGGAACUGAGACACGGUCCAGACUCCUACGGGAGGCAGCAGUGGGGAAUAUUGGGCAAUGGGCGAAAGCCUGAUCCAGCCACGCCGCGUGUGUGAAGAAGGUCUUCGGAUUGUAAAGCACUUUAAGUUGGGAAGAAGGGCAGUAAGUUAAUACCUGGCUGUCUUGACGUUACCAACAGAGUAAGCACCGGCUAACUUCGUG